UAGUCUCUGACCUUUAACAGAUGUAAAAGGGAAAACAGAGAAAUUGGACAUGCUGUGAUGGCUAUUGCCUGUUUUGCAGAGCCUCUCAGCAUAUUGAUCGGGUGGGAGAUGCUUCCAAGAGCUGGUCUAUGACUUAUAAAUCCACCACAUUGGGGGACGAGGGUAUGGGCUUCUAAGACUGUACACAAGAUAAGUCAAAGGGAACCAAGACUGCACAACCUCGCUUUGUGACAAAAGGCAGCAGGAAGCUUUGGCCGAGUUUUGGCAGCGGGCAGACAAUUUCCUCCCCGUGGUUUUUCACACAGUACGAAGCACAUGUAUCCCCCCUCAUAACAGGCUCGGGAGCGACAUUCUUAGCUGAUGCCUCCAGGAGCGUGUUGAUCUUCUGCUAAGAAAGUCAGUAUGGAAUUCAGCUGACAAGACCUUGACUUCUUUCCAUCACCCUGUCAAGGAUUUGAUGGAUGCACUUUCUCCUCUUUCGCUUCCCAGAGUUCUUUCACGGGCAUGUGUCUGCUUAAUGAAGUUGUUGAAGCACUGUCUCCUAACCUUCACCCAUGGGAGACCUGGACACAUUUCCAUACUCAUUGAAAAAUUCCUUUCUGGCAAGUCAGGCCCUGAUGAUGACUUCUUGAUUGGGUUAUAGUAGAAAGCUGUGCUUGGAGUUUUUGCAAGGGGCUCGGCAGGUGGCGCUAAGUGGUAAGAACCUGCCUGCCAAUGCAGGAGACCUAAGAAUCAUGUUUGAUCCCUGGAUUGGGAGGAUUCCCUGGAGAAGGACAUGGCAGCCCGCUCCAGUAUUCUUGCCUGGAGAAUCCCAUGGACAGAGGAGCCUGGUGGGCUACGUUCAUACAGUCGCAAAGAGUCAGACACGGCUGAAGUGACUUGGCAUACAGAGCACACAGCCUGCUUCCUGGACAGUUUACCUAUUCAUAAAAGGAAACCAAGUCCCAAAUCAUUUAGAUAAAUAGUACUUCUGCAAGCAUUAUGCUCACGUAGCCUCUCAUGGGGCUUCCUGGGUAGCUCAGCUGGUAAAAAAUCCGCCUGCAAUGCUGGAGACCCUGGUUCGAUUCCUGGGUCAGGAAGUUCCUCUGGGCAAGGGAUAAGCUACCCACUCCAGUUUUCAUGGACUUCCCUGGUAGCUCAGAUGGUAAAGAAUCUGCCUGCAAUGCGGAAGACAAGGUUCGAUCCCUGGAUGGGGAAGAUCCCUUGCAGGAGGCAUGGCAACCAACUCCAGCGUUCUUGUCUGGAGAAUCCCUGUGGACAGAGGAGCUUCUGGCGGUCCUUCUGUGGUUGCAAAGAGUUGGACAAGACUGAGUGGCUAAGCACAGCACAGCACAGCCUCCCAUGCAAAGCCUUGAAAACACAUUUUUAGAAAUUUCUCCUUUCUCCCAUGGCACCAUGAAGUGCACUGAGAUUUAAAUUUUCUUUCAUUCUGUCAUUUUUAAAAUAAAAUCUUUUUUUUCCC
ensembl:lncRNA